CCCUUAGAUGUCCUGGGCCGCACGCGCGCUACACUGACAUGUUCAACAAGCCUCCUAGUUCGACAGGAUUUGGGAAAUCUUUGAACGCAUGUCGUGAUAGGGAUAGAUCAUUGCAAUUAUUGAUCUUGAACGAGGAAUUCCUAGUAAGCGCAAGUCAUCAGCUUGCGUUGAUUACGUCCCUGCCCUUUGUACACACCGCCCGUCGCUACUACCGAUUGAAUGGCUUAGUGAGGCUUCCGGAUUGGUUUAGAGAAGGGGGCAACUCCAUCUUGGAACCGAGAAGCUAGUCAAACUUGGUCAUUUAGAGGAAGUAAAAGUCGUAACA
rnacentral:rRNA from 1 species